rnacentral:miRNA from 1 species
CCUGGUGGUGGUGGUGUUAUUGUUGCUGCUGGCGAUGGAGCUGGCGAUGGGAGAGGCCGUGAUGGCCUUC